CGCAGAGCUGCAGCACCCUCGACGCCUUCGCACCCGGAGCCUCGUGCCACCCAAGAGAGCAGAGGGAGCAGCGGGGCUUAACCACUGCCCCCCACCCAGCAAAAUCAGCUGGAGGUUUAGGAGGCACAAAGCACCGGAUCCCGCCAGCUGGGUCACCAAAUCCUACCACCGAGGGGGCUGCGGAGCAGCUGGCCUCCCCCAGCCCCUCCUGCCCCAACAGGGGAGGCUUUCCCAAGCACUGCGACACCCCGGGAGCUGGGAAGAGACCCUGAGCGUGGCAGCUGUGGGAUUUUUGGUGCAAAGCAGGGCUUUGGAGACUUAGCUUGCUCAGGGAGACCAGCCCCAGCUUGGCUCCGAGCUGGCAUCAGCCUUGUCUGCAAACCCACUGCUACCAGGAGCCCUGG